UGCCAUUUGAAUGUUUAUUUGAUAACUGAAUUAAGUGAAUUAUAUGUAUGUGAUAUGAAAAGAGGAUGUUUGUAAAUAACGAUUAUAGUAGUAAGUUUUAAAAAGCAAAUACUAUUUCAGUAUUUCUACUUAAAAAUGUCAUGUUUAAAUCAGUGUGUUACUUGUUUCCAUCCUACAUCAUCUGCUGGAACAAAGUUAGCGGAUGCUAGAGAUUAUGGUUUAUAAAGUUUUAAAUAUGGAUAUUUUUCUUACACAAAUGCAUCAAUUCACUUUAGAAGGCCUUUAUUAACCCCUCAGAGUCUUGUGGAGAACUUUUUAUGAUGGAUGAAUGCACUUUAUUUUGCUUACAAAUCCUGACCACUAUUCAUUGCCAUUAUAAAGCUUGAAAGAUUCAGGAUUUUUAUAUAUGUACUCAAAUUUAUAUUAUGUAUUUGUCUGAAAGAAGAAAGUCAUAUACACCUAGGAUGGCUUGAGGGUGAGUAGCCUAAAUCAUGGGGUAAUUUUCAUUUUUGGGUGAACUAUCCCUAAGUGUAAUAUUGAAAAAUACAUUACAAUUAAAUUUAUAAUCAAGAUUUUCACAUUUGCUCUAGUGUGUUUUAAGAAUAUUAAAACAAUUAUUUAAAAGUUACUUUAAAACUUUUAAUUUAAAUUUUUAAUAUUUACAAAGUGCACUUUUUAAAUAUAGCCUACACAAAGAAACGGUCUUUAAGUGGUCUUUUUAAAAAAUAUCUAAAUUACUUAAAUAAUAAAUAAUACUUUUAAGAUAUGAAAUACACUACAAUUGCACAUUUGAAAAAAAUAAAAUAAAAAUAAGCUCACUUUUUCCUAAGUGUUAAAACAUGCUUUUAUGUGAAAUAAGCUGACAGCACUUUUAUGAUUAGCAGUCGGAACCUCCUCUCUAUAACUUCCCUUAUUUACCAUAUAAAUAUAGUAUUCAGGCCUAACAGCAGGCAGUUGUCUAUUGAUUAUUGAAGACUGUGACACAGAGAUGACAAAAUUACUUAUUUUUCUUCUGGCGACCCUUCUGUUCUGUUCAGGCAUUUCAAAUGUUCAGAUGGGAAUGUCUCAGCACUUUGACCAUCCGAAUCCUGUGAGGGAGAUGGAGUUCAGUUAUCAUGACAAAGCAAUGGAGAACAAACAGGUUAAAUAAAGUGUUUUCACUUACUCAGAGGAAAAAUGCAAAAUACAAUUUCUUUCCAUGAUCAAGAUUCUACUUUCUCCCUUUAUCUCUCCCUCAAGAUCAU
rnacentral:lncRNA from 1 species